rnacentral:rRNA from 1 species
ACGAACGCUAGCGGCGUGCUUAACACAUGCAAGUCGAGCGGUAAGGCCCUUCGGGGUACACGAGCGGCGAACGGGUGAGUAACACGUGGGUGAUCUGCCUUGCACUUCGGGAUAAGCCUGGGAAACUGGGUCUAAUACCGGAUAUGACCUCGGAAUGCAUGUUCUGGAGUGGAAAGAUUUAUCGGUGCGAGAUGGGCCCGCGGCCUAUCAGCUUGUUGGUGAGGUAACGGCUCACCAAGGCGACGACGGGUAGCCGACCUGAGAGGGUGACCGGCCACACUGGGACUGAGACACGGCCCAGACUCCUACGGGAGGCAGCAGUGGGGAAUAUUGCACAAUGGGCGCAAGCCUGAUGCAGCGACGCCGCGUGCGGGAUGACGGCCUUCGGGUUGUAAACCGCUUCUGACAGGGACGAAGCGCAAGUGACUGUACCUGUAGAAUAAGGACCGGCCAACUACGUGCCAGCAGCCGCGGUAAUACGUAGGGUCCGAGCGUUGUCCGGAAUUACUGGGCGUAAAGAGCUUGUAGGCGGUUCGUCGCGUCGUUUGUGAAAACUUGGGGCUCAACCUUAAGCUUGCAGGCGAUACGGGCGGACUAGAGUACUUCAGGGGAGACUGGAAUUCCUGGUGUAGCGGUGGAAUGCGCAGAUAUCGGGAGGAACACCGGUGGCGAAAGCGGGUCUCUGGGAAGUAACUGACGCUGAGAAGCGAAAGCAUGGGUAGCAAACAGGAUUAGAUACCCUGGUAGUCCAUGCCGUAAACGGUGGGUACUAGGUGUGGGGCUCCUUCCACGGACUCCGUGCCGUAGCUAGCGCAUUAAGUACCCCGCCUGGGGAGUACGGCCGCAAGGCUAAACUCAAUGAAUUGACGGGAA